rnacentral:sRNA from 1 species
GAUGCAAGGGUCGAAAGCCGGAAACCACGCUGCGCUUGCGCAUAAGUGGUUUUAUGGCUUAGCGACCCGCUCCGACAUGAGGAUAACAGUGGGGCGUAUGCCACACGAUAUCCGAAUGACGGGCAGGAUUGCGAGAGUGCGUAGCACGUAGCAAUCCGUAAU